AGGUGAAUGAAAACAACAGUCUGUGCAUUGUUGGGGGCAAUGGAAGUCGGUCUUGGUUCUAGUGCUCAUACUGUUGUCAUCACUACCUCUGUUUAAUUAUGCACUUAAGAAGUUUCUGGGCUAUGUUUUUCUGGUGCUGAUAAAUGCUGGCUGGAUUCGUGUUUUCUUUUUAAAUCUCGCCACAAGCAAAAGACCUGCUCUUUUUCACCAUUAGAAUGUUUGCUAUAUCUACCAUGUUUGGCGAGACUUGAUGCAACUAGUACUAUUUUGCUGAAAUUGAGGUAUCAUGUUCAUGUUUGGCUGAACUACAUUAUGACAAGACGGUUUGCGCAAAGAUGUUCAUUUGCGCGUGCUAGCUGUGGCAUGGACUCGAACGAUUGAGAAGAAUGUCAUGGUUCACCUGAUUGAUGCUUUUCUUGGUACUGUUUUCGUUGCAACUAGAAGCAAAGGCGCGCUUUGCUGCGCCGUUCCUACCAUUCUUGGCAUUGUCAUGGUGAUCGAUAUGGCAAAUAAUCCGAUGCGCUGCAAGAAUUUCUAUCUAGUCACCUUCGAAUUUCUAUCUAGUCACCUUCCUGAAGAAUGUAACGUGAACUAAAUGAGGAAUGAAAUACAAAGUUUUUUUUAGCAUAAUAACUUUAUUCAUCAAAUGAUAGCCAGGUUGUUUACAAAAAGGUGAAGAAUAAAGUCAGGGAUGUUUGUUUCCCACACUUCAGACUUUCUAAUGCUAAUACAAUGUUUUGCUAAAGCAUCUGCUACCGAGUUCGCCUUUCUGCUACCGUGAUCAAUGGAUAUAUGAGCAAAUUCCAUUGUCAUUAGAGUUCGCCUUUCUGCUACCGUGAUCAAUGGAUAUAUGAGCAAAUUCCAUUGUCAUUAGGAAGCACUCUGCUGUUUCCAUAUAAGCAUAAGGGUCAGAUAUUGCCUCCAAUGCACUUGUGCUGUCAGAUUCAAUUGCCAGCUUUGUGCAGCCCAAAUUUGCAGCUAAAUUCAGUCCACACCGGAUAGCUAUCAUCUCUGCUUCUUCUAUGGUGGACAUAUGGGGUAUCAACUGAGUUGCCGCGCCUAAGAAUUGUCCUUAAUCAUUACGGGCUAUGACACCGCAUGAACCCGAGAAAUUGUUCGCAAGAAAGGAUGCAUCAACAUUUAUUUUUACCACUCCCACUUCCGGUUUCUUUCAUACGUGAUUCCUCUUCCGAGCAGUUUGGUUUGGAGUAUUUGCUCGUACAAAAUUUGUAGCUAGAACCCGGAUUGACAUUGCUGCUUGUUCUGUCGACAUGACAGUUUCCCCUUUCGUAUAAAGUCUCCUCUGCAACCAAAUAAAACACAUGGCCACCAGUAGGGAUGUUAUGCACCGUUGAAUGUACCUGGAACAGGAAGUUUAGAUUAAUCGAGCCAGACAGACCGCCUUAUCUAUCUUGGUCGAUAACCCCAACUCCUUCCAGAUUGCAUAUGCUCGAGAACAUGUAAACAGGAAAUGCUGAAUGUCCUCCAUUCCAGUACUGCAUAGAGGACAUUGCGGAACUAAAGGUACAUGUCUACUGGCCAACACCCCAUAACAAGGCAGAACUCCCUUCAAAACUUUCGGGCCAAAAUGUUUUACUCUACCCGGUAGCCGUAGCUUCCAUAGAUAUUUCCAUAUACCAUUUGCAUUAGCACUACCUUGGCUGUUCCGAUUGAAGUGGCGUCCGAACUGAUGCUCAAAUUCGAUAUAGUAUGCCGACCGCACUGAAAAGGUUCCGGGCCUUGUAUGGUGCCAAGCUACAAAGUCUUCCACUGCUUCCACAUUAACAGGAAAUUUGCAGUAUUCUAUGUGCAUCGAUAGGCGAGAGUACAUUCCGAAUAAGAUCCUCAUCCCAGUGACCCGUAUGGGGAUCAAUUAUCUCCUCUACUUUUGUUAACAUGAUGCCACCUCUAGGUGUAAUUAGCUUCCUGAUUGCACUUGAGGGUAUCCAUGGAUCUUCCCACAAAUUGAUAUGUGAACCGGAGCCUACACGCUAGAUAUAACCCCUCUUAAAAAUUUGAAUUCCUGCUACAAUAUUGUGCCAAGUAAACGAAGCUCCUUCCUUUGGACUAACUUUCAAGAUAUCUCCAUUGGGGUAAUAUUUUGCACUCAAAACUCGUGCACACAAUGAAUUAGGGUUUUGGAGUAGUCACCAACACUGCUUUGCUAACAUAGCAAGAUUAAAGCUGUGAAGGUCUCUAAACCCCAUGCCACCCCUUUUCUUGGUACACACAUUUUCCACCACGUAAAUCAAUGCAUUUUUCUCUUGUCAUCUCCAUCUCCCCACCAAAAACCCGAAAUUUCAUCGGUAAUUGAUUUACAGUUUCCUUUUGGCAACUUGAACACGGACAUAGCAUAUGAUGGGAUUGCUAGCGCUACUGCUUUUAUCAGGAUCUCUUUACCUUUAUGGAGAGGAUCUUUCCUUUCCAACCCUUUAACCUCUUACAUACUCUGUCCACUAGGUGUUGGAAACAGUCACUCCGAUCAACACCAACCAUUGUUGGUAGGCCGAGAUAUUUGUCUGACAAAGCUUCAGUUAAGAUAUCCAACGUAGCACAAACAUUUUCCCUGUCAUUAACACUAGUAUUAAGGCUGAAGAAGAUACUAGAUUUUGAGGUACUUACACGUUGGCCUGAACUUGCACAAUACGUGUCAAGAAUCCUCUUCAAAGUGGUUGCAUUCUGAUUUGUCGCCUUCAUUAGGAUCAAACAAUCAUCUGCAAACAAAAGGUGUGAAAUAGAUGGGGCAUUUCUAGAUACUUUUACCCCUUCCAAACCACCCGUUUCUUCCUCAAAAGACAGCAUACUGGAGAGUCCUUCAGAAUAGAUCAAAAACAAGUACAGGUAUAAAGGGUCUCCCUGUCUAAGCCCCCGAGCUGGUAUGAAUUCCUCUGUUUCAGUAUCAUUAAAUCUGAUUCUGUAACUCAUCGAAGAGACGCACUCCUUGAUGAGCUCAAUCCACUGUGUGUGAAAUCCCAUCCUUGUCAUCAUUGUUUGCAAAAAGACCCAUUCUACUCGGUCAUAUGCUUCUAGCAUAUCCAACUUAAAUGCACAUAUUCCAUUGGCUCCAUGGGUUUUCUUCUUUAUUGCAUGAAAACAUUCGUACCUGAUACAAAUGCACUCUGAGUUGGGGAGAUUACAUCAUGCAAGAUUUUCUUCAAUCUAUAGCUAGCAUUUUCAAGAUGAUUUUAUAAACCACAUUACAUAAACUGAUGGGCCUAAACUGGGUUAUCAUCUCAGGGCUAUCAAUCUUAGGGAUCAACACCACAUUUCUGGAGUUCCACCCAUCUAGGAUCUUUUUGUUAUUGAUUGCAUCAAGCACUUCCUUAGUAAGCUCCUCACCUAUAAUGUGCCAAAAGCGCUUAAAAAUAUCGCAUGAAGACCAUUUGGCCCGGGGCCUUCAUGUCGCCUAUUUGGAACAAUGCUUUUUUCACUUCCUCCUUGGUGUAAGGAGCUACCAACAGGGUAUUCAUUUGCGCCGUAACCACAGGUUUCACCGUGGACAGUAAGCCAUCAUCAAUUAUCCCCGCGUCAGUGUUAAAAAGACUUUGGAAAUAAUCAAUAAUCAUGGGCUUGAGGUUAUCAUUACCCUCAACCCAAGUAUUAUUAUUAUUUUUCAAUCUCAUAUUUUUAAAUUACGGCGUCUACGUGCCGAGGCAAACUGAUUAAAAAACCUUGUAUUGCGAUCGCCACAACGUAACCAAUUUGCAUGACCGCGUUGUGCCCAAUAGAUCUCCUCCUGCUCCAGGAGAUUAUCAAUCGACAUCGUGAGAUCUUGCUAUUUUGCCUUUAUCUCUGCAUCAUAUGGCUGUUUCAUAAGCAUCUCAAGCUCCUGUUGAGUUGAUCGCAGUCUGUACCGCGGCCCCUUUAGGACCUUUCGGUCCCACACAUGAAGCUCUUUGUGAACGACGUUUAGAUUCUCCUUGGCUGUAGGGCAAAGGCCUUGAGUAACAGCCUUCAGCAAAGCCAUUUUAACAAUCUCUUCAACUGCUUCUUCGGCUAGCCAUCGCGCCUCAAACUUGCGGCUGGCACUAUGGCGCGCCGCUACCACUCCGGCCAAGUACCCAGUGUCUAGGCAAAUCAGUCUGUGAUCUGACUUGUCCAUCUCUAGAUUACUCAAUCCACAUAACCGAUGCAUCUCCAUCCACUCUGCAUUAGACACAGCCCGAUCUAGUCGUUCGCGCAAUCCUCCUAUGAAAAAGGUAAACUUGUCCCCGUUGUACCCAAUAUCUUCCAGAGAGCAGUCAUUGAGCACGUCUUGAAAUGAUUGCAUCCGAGUUUGCUGUUGAGGGGCUCCUCCAUCCUUUUCCGACGAGUACAAUAUCUCAUUAAAAUCCCCAUUGCUACCCACGAGAGGGUGGACUGGGCAUGAAGAUCACGCAGGAGCUGGUAUGUUCUCUCCUUGUUGGCCCAAGUAGGCUCUCCAUACACACCAGAUAGUCUCCAAACUUUCCCAUCAUUUUCCUCCACCGACACGUCAAUACAAUUGAAUGUAGUAGUCCAGGAGUAGAUCCUCACCUCCUUCUUCCGGACUAGCAACAAACCACCUUUCCUACCAUCAAGACUUGGUGCUACAAUCUUGUGGUCCGUUCCCAUCUUUCUCAUCAGAGCCUCUGUCUUAAUUUCAUCUAGAUGCGUUUCAGACAGAAAGAACGCAUCCGCAUUAUGCCGCCUCUGGAUAUCCAGAAGCAAGCGAACUGUCGGGGUACCCAGGAGGCCCCGACAGUUCCAACUUAUGAGUUUCAUAGUGUUCGGCGUUCCUCCCUAGAGGAGGACACCGAUGUAUCACUUAUUGCCUCUGAAACUACUGCCUUAAACCUUUUGUGAUCAUGGAUUUUCUGAGGUGUACUCAUCUAUGAUUUUUCAAUAUGCUCUUCACUCGUAUUUCAAUAAGCAGGACCUUGUCUGUAACAAAGCCCGCAGGAGGAGUAGCCGCUCGGUCGGCUGUACUGUUUAUCUUACCAUCCAGUGAGAUCAGACGUUUCCUUGCACUCAGGGUCACCGUAUUACCUAGCUGUGAGUUCUCCUCCCUGACAUCCAUGCUCUCUUGCUCAUUGGGGUUAGCAUCUCCCGGUUUCCCAUUGUCUCGGCCUCCUCUCCUGUUUGUGUCGCUUCCCGCAUUCCCCUAGGAAGCGCCCCUGCUUGCCGCACCAUGAUCUUUUUGUUCCUCAUAGUUUAACAAUAGCCAUUUGCCCCAUUCACAUUCUCCCGGAUCAUGAAUUCCAUCGCCGCACUCUAUCACAAGAUGACCCAUCAGGCCACAAAAAUCACAAAACUCUGGGAGUUUUUCAUAUUCCACUUGGUAUCUCUUGCUUUCCUUUAGCGUAAGCGGUACAAAUCUUACAAGUGGCAUAUCAAGUUUCAAAUAAACCCUUGCUCUAAGAUACUGUGAGGGAUUCAACCAUCCCUCGUUAAAAACCACUCUGAAAGGAGGCAUGCCCACUUUGCCCGCUAUCUUUUUCGCUACUGAUUUCUUUUUCAUUAGUCCAUCAGGGAUUCCCAUGAUCCUCACCGAAGUAGGUAUUCUAUCAAGCUUGUACUGCCUGACAUUUGAUAUGCCAUCUAUUCCUCCAUUGCCACUGCUGCAUUGCGAAAAAUCCAUGGGCCACCACCCAUUACACGAUUCCAGUCACCUAGGCACAUGAAUUGCACCAAGAACAAAUUAGAUCCCAUUGGCUUGAAGAUCACGCCUUGCGCCGUUGCCCAUGCAUUACACAGUGUUUUGAACAGCGAGACAUGGCUAAACGGUUUCUGAGUAUGAACCCUAAACACUGCAAUCCAGUGAUUUUUCGCUAUAAUCUCUUCCACCUCCUCAGAUAGAUCAAGAUCCUCUUCCUCCUCCCCAUAGAGAUUCAGUCCCUGGAACUUGUCCUCCAAUAUUGAAGCACCAGAUCGGUCAUGCGAGCUAUGGCCCGGUGUCCCGCCGUGCCGCCCAAUGGCGUCCCUGGUCUUCCUGUACUUUCCAUGCGAUCUCUUGCAGAGUUCGAGGACACCGCAGGCACUCAGCCAGAUCAAUCGCUAGGAUCUCGUGACGUGAGGAUCAGUAGAACUUGCGGGUAGAUUUGGGACCCUAGCGGGGGCGCCACCGGGGAUAAGACCUGGGGGAAAAAACUCCUAGUGAAGUUAUCUCUUUCUAGGAAUGAAAUACAAAGUUAAUCUGUAAUAAGAGGACACAUUCUAAAUAAAAGGAACCAUUAGCUCAAUACCAUAUUGUCAGUGUUUUCCUUGCAAGCUAUUAUAAUAGCACCUUGAGAAACUGUUGGAAGCAUUUUUUUGGGAUGCAACAAAUUUGGCUUGCUCUUGGUUAUUCCUUGGUUGCUUUAAUCAAUGCAAUGUGAAGACACAUGUGGGGAUAAUUAUCAUUCUUCUUGGAAUUGAAUUUGUACAAUCUUGCGACAUUCCCGGAUCUCGAAUGGAUGCAACUGAUUUGUAUCCAUUUCUUUUUUUAGUCAGUUUCGGGUCCUUAUUUUUUGACUGCUACAUUAAAUCUCCAAGGCAUCAUUUGGUGCACAGGGUACGAAUACCAUGGAAUAGGAAAACUAUAGAAAAUGAGGUGACAUGUAUCUCAAUUCUUAUAGGAAAAUAGAUGUCAUUUGAUUCAUAGGCUAGGCACUUUUCCUUCCCAUUGGGUCUAUGAUGAUUUUAAGGGCAUGUUUGGUUGCCUACAUCGUUUUUUGCCACUUUGCAUACUUGUCUCAGUUGGGCCAGGUUGAGCGAAUGCAGCCUAAAAACCAUCAUCUACACAUCGUUUGAUUGCUUGCAUUUGGUUAUGGGCUUGUUUAGGCAGAAAUGCAAGUCAGGUUGUUUGGUUAGAUGCAACGCAUGUUGUUUGGCAACCUCUUGAUGGAGGUGGUGAGGUUAGAGCACACUGACAAGGAGGACGUAAAUAGCAUAACAUGAUGAUACCAAUCAUAAACAACCAGUCUUAAACAAAUAAGACAUAAAUAAACAAUCUUAAACAAUCCGCUCGACCUAAACAGAAGCAAAUCCAGGCAAGAGAGAACUUUCUAGGCACUCAUGGCAAAGGCACCGUCGUGCUUCUUGCAGUUUGUCACCACCACAAUGUUGUCAUCGCUGAAGACGAUCACCUUCAGGGUGUUUGGAGUCAGCAACUUGAACGUGACUAGGUAGUCGAUCCUGAUCGGUGAACAAAGGCGAAGGGGCACCAACUCUGAUCAAGGGUGGCACUGCUAUUGAUCACCCAGACCGUCACCCUCCAGGCACAGCAGGUGUUGGUCUUGACCUUGAACUCCUAAGGGACGACGGGGAAGUGCUUGGUGAAGUCCAGAGGCAUCGGCAGACACUCCAGCUUUGGUGCAAGGAUGACCUUGCAGAAGUGGGUUGGUCCUGCCUCCUCAUGGUAAUGGUCGUAGUUCCUCGUCCGUUGGCCGCUUCAAAAAGCCUAUGACAGCAUGAAGCAACAAUUGCUCUACAAUAAAAAAAACUUCCCUUCCGGUGACCUAUAGAUUCCAUCUAAAUCUAUUGGGGGCUCCACCACGUCCUUGCCCUUGUCUUCGCCGACACCACAUCCUUGCCCUUGUCUUCGCCAGCACCAUAUCCUUGCCCUUAUCUUCGGUAAACACCACCUCCUUUCUCUUGGAGUUCUCCAAGGUAGCCUUGUUGAUCUGCAUAUGAACAUCACGAAGUUCAAAGGAUGAUCAACAUCCAUCCAUCACACCCAACUAGUCCAAAGCCCCUAUUUAUCCACCACUGCACUGUCUUUCACUAUCACUCUCUAUUUUCUAUCCUCUUCCACAUCUCUGUCUCACCACCUCUACAUCACCAUGAACCCCAUCCCCAACCCCAUCCUCAACCCCUUUCGCAACGACACUGGAUGAAGGUCUUUCUUCCUUGGUUGCUGAUAACCCACAAGUAUAGGGGAUCGCAACAGUUUUCAAGGGUAGAGUAUUCAACUCAAAUUUAUUGAUUCGACACAAGGGGAGCCAAAGAAUAUGUAGCAGCUGAGUUGUCAAUUCAACCACACAUGGAGAUUAAUUAUCUGCAGCAAUAUGAUCAGCAUCACGGUAAUAUGAUAGUUUUGAUAGCAGUGAUAAUAAUGAUUUUGUAGCAAGUGUAACAGUAACAAUAGUAACUUAGCAAUAUAUAUAUAGGAAAAUCGUAGGCAUUGUAUCAGUGAAUUUGUUGGAUGAUAUUCAUCAUAUAACAGUCAUAACCUAGGCCGAUACAAAACUAGCUCCAGUUCAUAAAUAUGAUGCAGGCAUGUAUUCCGCAAAUUGUCAUACAUGCUUAUGGAAAGAACUUGCAUGACAUCUUUUGUCCUACCCUCCCGUGGCAGCGGGGUCCAUAUGGAGACUAAGGGAUAUUAAGGCCUCCUUUUAAUAGAGAAUCGGAACAAAGCAUUAGCACAUAGUGAAUACAUGAACUCCUCAAACUACGGUCAUCACCGGAAAGUAUCCCGAAUACUGUCACUCCUCGGUUUACGGAUCAUAACAUGUAAUAGGUGACUAUAACUUGCAACAUUGAAUCUAGAACAUAGAUAUAAUGGUAUAACAUACACGGUUCAGAUCUGAAAUCAUGGCACCUGGGCCCAAAGUGACAAGCAUUAAGCAUGGCAAAGUCAUAGCAACAUCAAUCUCAGAACAUAAUGGAAACUAGGGAUCAAGCCCUAAAAAAACUAACUCGAUUACAUGAUGAAUCUCAUCCAACUCCCUCACCGACCAGCGAGCCUACGAAGGAAUUACUCACUCCCGGUGGGGAGCAUCAUGGAAUUGGCGAUGGAAAAGGGUUGGUGAUGACAAAGAUCGAAGAUCCCCCUCUCCGGAGCCGCAAACGGACUCCUAAUCUGGCCUCCCAAUGAAGAACAGGAGGUGGCGGCAACUCCGUCUCGUGAAACAUGAUAAUUCUUCCUCCUUCAUUUUUCUCUGAAAAUAGGGUUUUAUAGCGUCAUAGAUAGGAUCAGCAGGACCACCAGGUGGGCAUAACCCACCUAGGCACGCCAGGAGGGGGCCCACACCCUGGUGGGUUGUGCCCACCCAGGGGCACCCUCCGGUGGUUCUUGGCUGCAAUAUUUUUCCUUUAUUGUAUACAAAUUCUCUAAAAAGUUUUGGUCCAUUCUGAGAACUUUUAUUUCUGCACAAAAACAAUACCAUGGUAGUUCUGCUGAAAACAGCGUCAGUCCGAGUUAGUUUCAUUCAAAUCAUGCAAAUUAGAGUCCAAAACAAGAGUAAAAGCGUUAGGAAAAGUAGAUACGACGGAGACGUAUCAACUCCCCCAAGCUUAAACCUUUGCUUGUCCUCAAGCAAUUCAGUUGAUAAACUGAAAGUGAAAAAAAACCUUUAUGAACUCUUUUGCUCUUGUUUACAUAAAUAAGCUUACGUCGCACCCAGGUUUUUAGCAAAAAAUAUGACUAACCAUGUCGACAAUAACUCUUAAAAAUUAUAUUAGCUCAUAUCAAUGGCAUAAUCAACUAGCGAGCAAUAAUAAGAUAUCUCAAAUGACAACACUUUGUCAAAACAACCAUGAUAUAAUAUGACAAUAGUGGUAUCUCGCUAGCCCUUUCUGAGAAUGCAAAACAUAAAUGCAGAGCACCUCCAAAGUUCAAGCGACGACUAAACAUUGUAACUCAUGGUAGAAAAGAUCCAGUCAUGAUGCACCUACACAAUGCAUGAGGAUGACAAUAGUGCUCCCAAAUCUCGUGCUUAUUGGAGAAGGUGAUGACACAACAUAAAAUUAAAUAGAUAGUCUCUUCGCAGAGGGAAGCAGUGAUUUGUAGCGGUGCGAGAGCGCAGAUUUUUAAAAUAGAGAUAAAUGAAAUUUUGAGAAAUGCACCCUUCAUGUUUACUUCGCGACCAUUACUUAUUGAUAUAUUUCAUGCUAAACACAUUAGUGGCGGUUCCAAAGCGAUAAAAGUAGAGGUUUACUCCCACUCCACCAACAAACACACUCCACGGCUAGCCGAAUUCAUGGGUACCGUCCAUACUAACAUCAGUCACGGGGGAGUUUUGUUUAAUUAUUUGCAAUUUUUGAAUUCGGGACUGGGAAUCCCUAUUACUGCCCCUGUCGUGCGAGGACAAGUGAAUAAACACUCAUCACGAGAAUAACCCGCUUAGCAUGGAAGAUAUUGACUACCUCCUAUCACUCUAUGAAUAAUCCACACACACAAAAAUGGAUGUUUAUUUAAAGUUUUUUUGAGGUGGCACAUGCAAAUUUACUUAGAACGAAAGGGUAAUACCGCAUAUAGGUAGAUAUAUGGUGGACUCAUCUGGAAUGACUUGGGUUUCAGGAUUUUGAUGCACAAGCAGUUUUCCCGCUUAGUAUAGGCGAAGGCUAGCAAAUAGGUUGAGAAGCGGCCAGCUAGAGAGCGAAAAUGAUCAUGAACAUGCAUUAUGCAUAAGUAACAUUGGAUACUAGCAUGAGUAGGAUAUAGACACCAUGAACAUAAAUAUCGUAGAGGCUAUGUUGGUUUUGAUUCAACUACAUGCAUGAACAUGUGCCAAGUCAAGCCACUCGAACAUUUGGAGGAGGAUACCAUAUCAUUAUACUGCAUCACAAUCAUUUUAACACAAUGUUGAAAUCUAAGAUAAAUCAUUAUCCACUCCUAGCUACUUAAGCAUGGCAUGAAAAACUAUAAUCUCUAAUUGUCAUUGCAAACAUGUUUGAUCAUAAUAGGCUGAAUCAUGGAUACUAGGUUAAACAUAUUUACAAAACAAAACAAGUUGAGUUCAUACCCGUUUCUCUCUACCACGACCAGUUCAUCAAAUAUCGUCAUUAUUGCCUUUCACUCGCACGACCAAAUGAUAUGAAAAUAAUAAUAGUGCAAGAGUGCCAUGGAUUAAGCUAGAAUCUGCAAAAAUUUUAUUCAGAAGGAGAAGACAAGGUAAAUUGGGCUCCUCAUUAGAUCAACAAUAAUGCAUAUGAGAGCCACCCAACAUUUUCAUCGUGGUCUUCUCCUCGGUAUGACUCAAUAAAAAGGAAAAGAAAUUGAGAAAAACACACUAAAAUAUUUUUGGAGUUUUUAGUCUUUCUUGAACAAAGCAAAUUAAAGGGAAAAACAAAAAUGAGAAAAACUAUUUACAUGAGAGAGCUCCCAACAUGCAAAAGAAGAACCAGGAAAUCUUUUUGGGUUUUCUUUUUAAUACUACGGCUAACUAAACUAGAAAGAAAAACCGAAAAGAAGCAAGAAAUAUUGUUUUUUGUUUUCUCAAAGUUUUUCAAACACACAAGAAGAAAGCGAGAAAAUAAAUUUAGCAUGGAUAAUACAAUUAAAAAGUGUGGACACCAACAGAUGGAAUGAAAUGUGUGAACAUGAAUGUAAUGUCGAUGGAAAUACAUACUCCCCCAAGUUUAGGCUUUUGGCCUAGCUUAGUAAUCACCACUCGUAGUAACCCUCGGGUCCCAUGUUGAAGUGCUGUGGAGUGGGCACCUGAGCGUCCCACUCCUGAGGCUCCUCCUUAGCCGCUGCCUGGUUGUUCCCGUAGGCGACGAUGUCCUUUGGCAUGAUCCUGUAUCCGCCCCUGGCAAUAGAAUCAAACAAAGCAAGUGCAGGCAAUGGGAUAAUAUCACGGGUAUUCUCAUUGAAAACCAGGUUGUAAGGAAUAUGAAUAUUAGUGUUCUCGCCAUCAAUAAAUUGAUGAGUUGCCAUAGCCUGAUGAUCUAAAUAAACCUUGGUUAAACAAUAAUCAUGUUGGCGAAUCUAAAUGGUUAAAAUGACUCGCUAAACGAGUCGCAUAAAUACCGCCAUGAAUUUUACCUUGGAUCUAGUAAGGGGCAGGAGACGUGCAAUGAUAGCCCCAAGGUUAUAGCUAUUAUCGUCGUAAAGUGCACGUGUAAGACAGCAAAAUCGGGGGCACUAAGUGCACCAACCUUCUCUCUAGCAAGUAAACACUUCACACUGAUAUAAUGAAAUAAUGCACAGAAGGAAACUACAAGCUAGUGGCGGUAACACUCGACACCCCUCUCUCGUCUCCCACUGACAGAGUGCGAUAGAAAUCCUCAAACUCUGCAAGUCCAGAUUCUCUUAUUUCCCCAUCAGAAGGGAUCAAGCAUAUGUCACAAAAUUCAGUAAGUGGUACCUAACGGGUUUUAGCAUAUAAAUUAAACUGCACCUCGGGGGGUUAUUCCUACUCAAAAAAUGAAAGCUUUGCACAAAGGAAUUUGUAAGGAGAUGGUAUUGUUCACAGUAAGCUGCGAUGAAGUCAGUGAGACCAGCAUUAGCACCAAAUUGUGCGAACUCUUGACGGAUCCCGACUCCAUCCAUGAAGGGGUUAUGCGGCCAUUCACACGGUUGCACUUUUGCCAUUCUCCGAGUACGGAGACCAUUGUCUGAUGACUCCCCGAUGACUCCCUUGGAGCUCUUCUUGGAAGCAAACUUCCUAAAGAAGCUCAUCUUAUUCCUAUGAACAAAAUUCUGAAAUUUUUAGUCUACAAAAUUUUGCCAACAAAACUUCACAAGAUUGAUAGCAACUACUCAUAGGGAUGUAUAGAGGCCAUACUGAGCAUUCAAACUACUUAGAACUCUAAAAAUUCAACAUGCAAGCUCAUCUACAGCAGCACUAAGAGUAGAUAAUUAUUCAAAAUAUAAUCCGGUAAAGAAAAAACUAAUUGGACCAAUGGUGGAGUCACAUACCAAGUAGCAGUCCCCCAAAACAAUUUCAGAAACGGAACUUUGAGCUAAGAGAUCGAAAUCCGCGGGUUUGAGAGCAAGAACACGAGAGAGAGAGAGAGAGAGAGAGAGAGAGAGCAACCACUACAAAAAAAGACACAUCUGUGACAUUUUGGGCUGAAUGAAUUUUUUUCCUGUCAUACUUAUGACACUUCUAUGACGAUAAUUGUGAGAAAACCCGGUAUCAUCAUAGAUGUGGUGGGCUCCUACUUCUAUGACAAAAAAUCAAGACAGAAAAUGGGCUUUUCGUCUUGGGCGGGCUGGAGACAUAGUUGCAUGACAUUCUUUGGGCCGUCCAUGACAGAAAAAACUGUGGUAGAAGCGAGGGUGAGGAAAAUAUCGGGGAGUUCCCGGUUACGGUGGGUGGUCGAGGGCCGAGCGAUGUGCGUUUCUCUCAUACACGUACACGCGUGGGUGCGAGGCAUUAAGCUCUAACUGAACCCGAGCGAGGCGUUCGCCAAACUGAACCCAAGCAAUUGCACUGCAGGCUAUGCAUUAGUGAAUCCGAGCGAUCGAUCGAUGGCUGUUAACUGAAGCCGAUUGAUGCUGCCUCUGGAUGAACAGUGAGCGUUGUUGGGGGCUUUGGAUGUACAGUUCCCGGUGGGGGGUUAGAUGAACAGGACCCCGUGGUGUUGCCGCUAGAUGAACAGGACCUCGAUCGAUCGAGCUGGUUGGGCGUGGAUGAACAAGACCCCGUGGAGGGCUGGAUGAACAGGACCCCGUGGAGGGAAGGUUGAACAAUAGCUGGUGGAGGGCUGGUUAAACAGUAGCCGGUGGAGGGCUGGAUGAACAGUAGCCCAUGGAGGGGUGGUUGAACAGGACCCCAUGGAGAGGGCUGGUUGAACAGUAGCCGGUAGAGGAGCGCGCGGUGGAGGCUGGAUGAACAGGAGCCCAUGGAUGAACAGUCACAGGUGGAGGCUGGAGGAGGUCGACGUGGAUGAAUAGUAGCCCGUGGAGGCUGGAGGAUAUCGACGGUGGAGAUGAGCAGUAUCCCGUGGAGUCCCGUUUUGCGGUAUGCCACACCCCUCCUCAUGAACAGGACCCCGUUUCGACCGUAGCGCUCCAACACAAGUCCGUUUUCUUCGUUUUGCGGUAUGCCACACCCCUCCCGAUCAACAGGACCCCGUUUCGACCGUAGGAGGACCAAGAGAAGUCCAUUUCCUCCGUUUUGCGGUACGCCAGACCCCUCCCGAUGAACAUGAUCCCAUUUCGACCGUGGCCGGUCGAACACAAGGCCGUUUCCUCCGUUUUGCGGUACGCCAGGCCUCGUUUCCAUUAGUUGUUCCGUCCAAGCCGGUGGGCUCCCGAUGAACACGACAUAUUCCGACCUAGUCGGUUGCCUCCCGAUGAACAGGACGCUGUUUCUCCGUUCCGACCGAGCCAGUUCGCUGCCUGAUGAACAGUACGCCGUUGCUGCCGUCUGUUGCCUUUCCAUGUACACAAGCCCUGGCCAUCCGUAUAUAUAUGCGUGAGUACGCGCUCGAGACUCUGCCCGUAUGUACACACGUGGCCAUAUUUUCUUUCUUGCAGCCUGACCGCUGUACGUACGUGUACAUGCUACGUGCACGCCUCUACUACGACAUGUGCGCGCCUCUACUACGACACGCGCCCUUCCUUACACAGCCACAGUUCAUCGCUACAGCCUACAGGCAGACCGAUCGUAUGUACGUACACGUUCCCGACCAGAAUGACAAUGCUACAUAUGCUUCGACCAGGUGGGUCCCGACUGUCAGGCACUAUGUAGUUGGUGGGUCCCAGCAGUCAGGGGGUGAAUAAUUUUUUUGCGCGUAAUAUGGACGCACUUCCUUGCGUGCGAAGAUGUAGCUGGUAGGUCCCAGCAGUCAGGGGGGAAACAUUUUUUAGUGAAAUACGGUGGCCCUUUCGGUGGGUCCCUGCUCUCAGGUGGAGGAAUCAUUAUUUUCCACGUAAUAAGGAGGCACUUCCUUGUUGCGGCCGUGGACCCAGCUGUCAGCCUCUCCACGUAUAGUACUCUUCCAAUGGAAGUUGGUCGUUUACCAAACUGACCACGCCGCGCCGAGAGCACCAAGGCGGUGGACGGCGGCGAGGCCUAGGAAGGGGACGACGUGGAGCCGAGAAAGACACGGUAGUGGAUGCCCACGCAGAGAGGAGUACGAGGGUUCACUGGUUCGACUGUGGUGUGAGGCUGCUGUCGCCGCAGAAUAACAGGGGGUGUGGGUGAGUGGAGGGAUGGCCUGGCCAGCGGUGGGAGUAGUAGGGAGCGGUGAGGCCUCCAUGGCAGCAGAGCAGGCCACAAGAGGUAGGAGCAGGCGGCACGACCGGCGCUACUUUGGGCGGAUCGAGCAAGAAGACCAGAGGUUGAAGAAGCACGACGACCGUUGGAUGGACAUCGUACGAUCACCGCAGCUAGAAUCGUUAAUAUUGACUAAGUUGACAAAUCUCUUGGUACGCGUCAACUUAGUAGGCCCACAGGUCAGCUUCCGAAAUGGUGCGCCCCAAAUGUCAGGGGGAGGAAUCAUUUUUUGGGCGGGUGAAGCUAGAAUAUCUGAGUUUGAAGAAGAAGCAUGACAUCCGUUGGAAGGACAUCCAACGGCCACUGCUGCUAGAACCGUGUGUUGACUAUAAGUUGACAAAGCCUUGCAUAUGCGUUAACUUAUUUUUUUGAGGGGAUGCAUCAACUUAGUAGGCCCACAAUUGUGUGGCAGAGAACUUAUAGCCCAUUUGAGAUUUGUAAGAAAUGUACAAUCCUUUUUUGAAUUCUAAUGGAAUUUACUAAAACCCAUUUACAGUUUGUUAAAAAUACAACCCAUUUUUUUAGCUAGGACAACGAUUAACAAUUUCAACCAACCGUUCAAAACAGAAUUCAAUAAAAUUUCCCACAUUUUGAUGGGAUCCGAAAUAUUUUUAUCCUGAAAUUUCUAGCCAGAUUAAAUAAAAUUUCAAUAUAAAUUUGUAUUACGUAAAAAUCCAACGAAACAUUGCGCGUGCAACAAUUAAUGAAAUUAAAAUUUCCAAAAUCCAAAAAUAAUAUUUUAUAAAGUAAUUACGUGUUUGGUGCAUUUUUUUAUAGUUACCGCCUAGUUUUUAUAAUUACAUCCCAUUUAAUAUUUUUUAAAGCCCAUUUUCUUGUUAAGCCUAAUGCAUCCCUCCUAGGAAAGAUUUGCAGCCCAGCGGGCGGAGAAUAACAAGUUGACCUUGCCUGUGUAUUCCUCAAAAAAAAGUAUAGCUGGGCUAGCCAUUUUCAGCAUGAAAAAAAUUAAUAUCUGGGCUGGAUAUCUGGCCUGGGCUAGACGGGCCACAACCCGCCCAGUUAAUACCCUGCUCUCCUCUGAACAACAACGAAAACAUCGCUCAAAAAAAACUCUGCAGUGCUCACACCUAAAAAACACAAAUACUGCUCGAGCUGCUUGGUCCCAGCUGUCGUCUGCUCCUUGUGCCCGUUUAUUGACUACAUAGGUUGACAAUGGUGUGGGACCGUGAUGUCAGGAAACCAGGAGAAAGCAAAAAAAUUACAGUUGUAUAUAAUAAGGAGGCACUUGCGUACGUGUGGCUAUGGCCCUGGUGGGUCCUCACUGUCAUCCUCCCCAAGUAAAGUCAUCUCCUCAUUCCUCAUGUCCGUUGACCAUGUUGACAACACAAGACGGUGGCGCCACGGCGAGCACAACAACUCGAAGUACGACGGAGAGGGCCUUGCGGGUCCUACAGAUGGUCUGAUACAGCGCCGACUGCUCAUUCAGGAAGCCAGGAUCAUAGGGCCACAUGUCCGCGACGAUAGUGUCGUUCGCUUGUUCACCGGUGCUUGUUGAGGAGAUGGAGGUUGCAGCACAGGUCCUCCUGCGCUGGUAGAUUUUCCGCCGUUAGGGCGUCAAAGUGCGGCCGCACCUGCUCUAUGGUGAAGACGGCAUGAACCGGCUUGGACAAUGGCGCCGGCUCCUGGUCGGAAGCUAUGUCCAUCGUCUGAUUGUCGUCGCUCAGCUUGGUGAGCUCGCUGGCAAGGCAGCAUGUCCGACUGUUGGACCAACCCACUGCCAAGCACGAGUCUGACUGCCCUGGCCCACCCAGACCACCUCCCUCGCCUGCACGUGCUUUCCACCCGAAACGGUUGGCGCCGCCCGCCCCGCUUCCCGGUGCAGGCGAUUGCUCCGCCUUCAAACGACACAAGUGUCGUCCGUCAGUCCGUCUUCCGCCCACACUAAUGAUACGCGGUUGCCGAAGCGCUACUCCGGCGCCACACGUCCGUCCCUCCGCCGCCCACCAUUGCUAUAUAAACUGUUGCGCUGGCCACAGCCGCAGUCACCCGCCUCCAUUCCCUUUCUCCUCUCCACACCACUACUGCCCACCAUGGCUUCCUCGCGCUCCAGUGCUCUUCGGGAUGGCCAGACGAUGGACCACAAGGAGAUGGCAGCCAUUGCUGCCAAAUGGCUGGCCGACAGGCAGCCGGAGGACGACGACGUCCCAAUGGAGAACAUGGGGUAGUCGACGAUCUGGCGCCAACCCCCUCCUCCGCGCCAUCCUCUCGGGUGCAUUGCACCAUUACCAUCGGCGAGGCCCAUGCCCAAUACAUGGACACGGUGAGGUAGAAGUGUCAGGAGCAGUUCCGGGAGGCGCAGGCCGAUGCCCCCUACAACCACCAUCUCCUCCAGGAGCACCUACACGUGGAGGAGCAGAUUGCCACGGAGCGGGCGGAUUAGGAGGCGCUGCUCGACUCAUACCGCUCCACCUGCGAGGGCCGCCUCGAGCGCUGGCGGUACCACAUGCGGGUGGCGGAUGCUGCGGCCACCUACAAAGAGGGCGAUGAAGCGGGCGAGGCGCUGUUUGGCAAGACCGAGGACGAGGCAAAGGACAAUGCCGGCUCCAAGUCCUCGCUUCGCUGGCGUCGACGAGGCCCUACUCCGCCGAGGCCCCGCGACACGAACAACAAGGCAUAGGACACCGCCAGCUCCGCCCCGCCGGCACUGAGGUGGAGGCCCCCUACUCCGCCGAGGCCCCGCCCCGCCAACAAUGAGGCAGAGGACAUCGCCGGCUCAGCCGAGGCCCCAACCUGCCGGCAACGAGGGGGAGGAUUUCCCCUGCUCAGCCGAGGCGCCGCCCCACUGACAACGAGACAAAGGACAUCGCCGGCUCCAUUGAGGCCCCGCCCCACUGCCAACGAGGCCGCUCCACACAGAAAAUGAGGAAGAGUAGAACACGGUAGGUCGCCGCCGCUCGGGUCCAAGUAAGGCCACCGCUGCUACCCUUCGGUUGAAGCCAAGCUAGGCGGGUUGACCAUUGACGGCCGAUUAGCUUCUUAGCGGUGACGUGGAGUCGGAGAGCUAUGUUGGAGAAGGACGCUGCUUGUAAAUAACUGCUGGUGCAGUUGGCUGACUGACACAUGGGCCCAGCAGGCAUCUAGGCCACAUGUUAGUUACCCAACUCCACCUGUAGUUAAGUCACCGAAGCUCAGUCCGCUGGAGAAGAAGCUUCUGUUCGGCUCAGCCGGACACAGGUGGGUAGCUUCGGUUAAUUAAUUAUACCUCCAGCACACCCCUUUUAAUUCAAGAAUGUAUGAAAUGUAAUGAAAUCCGACAUGUUUAUAUGAAAUCCGACCAUGUAUGAAUGAAUUUAGUUCGAUUAGUUCAAAUUCUUGUAUCACUGGCAUUGGAUGAACAUGCAAAACAAUACAUACUAGCAUUAUUCCCAGGGUGAUCACCUCGUUUGCAGCAGUUUCCCAUGUACUCCCUCUGGUCCUUUUUAGUAUGCAUACAAGUUUUGUCUGCAGUCAAAGUAUCUCUACUUUGACCAAUCUUAUAGAAAAAAGUAUGAACUUUCACAAUGUGCGAAGUAAAAAGGAACAAAGGGAGUACAAAGAGUUUGAGCAGCUUUUUAGUGUUCCUGUACAUUGCAAUCAAACACACAGGCCUGGCAAUUCAUAGAUAACAUUCAAAACAAUCAAUGAUUAUGCAUCUCAACGAUUCACAUGUCAGAGCCAAUAUUUACUUCACAACUAAAUAAUAAAGAAAAAUCGAUCACGCUGCUGACAGCAAAGGGCGUCCCAUUCGAAAAUAUCAAACGCAUGUCUUCUUCCUAACAUCAAUGAGCAAAAUUUUACAAGGUUGUCCCAUUCCAAAAUGUCAAAUGCUUGUUAUUUUUCAUACAUCAAUGAGCAAACUUUGACAAGGUUUUCCCAUUCCAAAAUAUCAAAUGCCUACAAUUGUGGAAUGGGUAGGGUUUGCCAUCAGUUUGGACAUUGACAUGGCACCUCGUGCUAAAUAAACUAGCUGUUCUUUUUGUCCAGUUCCACCAAAAUCAACCAAAUUCGCACGUAGCUUGUAUGAUUUCACCCUUAUAUGUUGCAACGCCUUGAACUUAUCGACACCUCCUUUCUUGUGGUGGAAAUGAAUGAUUUGAUGUAUUCAUGAACAUUUUGCACAGUUUCCAUUGAAAUCAAGCUAAGCACCCCUGUUUGCACAAAUACAAAAAAGCGAUUAGUAUAAAGCAAACUAUACUAUGAAGUGACAGUUUAAACAAGCACCUACAUGGUCCAUGUAGAGCACACUUUUAAAAUAAUGGAACUCACCGGAAAGAAUCCUAGAACAACAUUGUACUUGCGCAUCACAGCAAAAAAAUGGAGAUCUGUCAGUCCUUCUGAGCUAAAGUUAGUUUGGUCUUGUGGGGAGUAAUGUAACCAUACUUCAACUACUCCUUCCGAUGAGAAGAUAGACAUGGCUUCUUCGUCCUGGCAUAAUCGGAACUAGUCACUUCACGUACUCCAUGUUCUUCUUCGGAGGAGGAUGAUCCUGUUGUGCAAAGACAACAGGACAACUAAAUGCUAGCAUCCCUGUUUGCUCGAAAAAAGGAAAGGAAAUAUUUAGAACAACACAAAUGAAGCACUUCUCAAGGACAAUACCACUUUCUCAUGACAUUAUCUAAACAGUAGCACAACACCAAUAGAGAUGACAAAGCUCAAUCAUAUGUAUGAAAUCCGUGGGCGAGUACCAACCUUUGUCAGGAGGCUUAUUGUGUAUAGCAUACAGAUCAAGCACUUCUCCGGAACCAUCUGUCACUAUCUACUGUGGUUGCCAUGCUUACUUAGUUUAAUGUUUCCAACAUCUUCUUGUGCAGUUCCACUAAAAUAUAUGGUAUCUUCAAAGAAGAUCCAUGUUUGCACAAGUAGAGAUAAUUACAUAUUACAUUAAGAGUGGCAUCAAAUGAGUUGCAAAACAAUUGCUCAUUCCAGCCAUAGCAAUAAAUCAAGAUGCAAAACUAUAUCAUUACUUGUGUCAUCACAGUUAAAGUGCUUCAUUACAGCACCAGGAGUUGAUUUUUGUUUUUCUUCCGCUUAUUCUUCCCCUUCAUCACUUGGUUCAAUAACAGACAAGCUUCGCCUUCAAUGUAAGAUUUGGCAUGUCAAUUAGGGAGCACAAGUAUAUCACUAAACAACAACAUUAAUUUUUUGAUGGAAGUUGCAAAAUACAGGCCAACAGUUGAGAAAUAUCCUGAUCUUACCUCAAUGGGAUAUUACGGUGCACAUACAGAUUGGAAGUCUUGUCUCCAUUUGUGUAGUUCACUAAAAUCAAGCAACAUUACCGUACAAGUAGCACAACCUAUGAAAGCACACUGCACAAUCAUGUGAAAGAAGGCUAGUACUGACCUCUCAUGACGUGGAAUUCAAACGACUCACAAGAAGAAGAUCUGAACCAAAUUUGCCAACACGGAUAGGAAGUAAGAUCUCCUCUUGUGCAGUUCCACAAAGAUCAAGCAAUCAAGCAACGUUGUCGGUGUGACAUUUUGGUCGAACUGCACAAAACACUCCUAAAACAAAAGUGUUUUGUCCAGUGCAACAAAAGGUCACAAUAGCAACGAGGUGAAGUAGAUAACCCUAUUUACACAGAGGUGCAAAGGAAAUAACUAGUGGUCAAUAACGGUGGAUGACACAGAAGCCAACAAAAAGAAGCAUCUAACUUAUCUAAAUGGUAAAGAAAGCAAGACAGUAGCAUUUCUCAAAUGUUGGCAUUGAUUAAUAUUAACAGAGAGAUUAUAUUAAAAAUAAAAUUUGUUAAACGUGUAAUUUGCUUUUAACUUGUGGCAUUGCAUCAAUUUUCCAGUGGCAUUAUUAGAGGGUGUUUGUUUACAGGGACAUUUUGGUGUAGGGACUAAAAAAACUCCGUGUCAGUCCCAUCUAAACCAAACAGGAGGGACUUUUAGGGACUAAAAGUGGGCAUUUGGGACUAAAGAAAGAAGACCCCAAGGGAGAGUCUUUUUGGGACUUUUUCCAAUAGUUGCCCCUGCCCCGCAUCGCACCUUGUCUCUAUUAGUUCAUUACUAGGGGUAACAUGGUCUUUUAGCAUGUCAUUUAAUAACCUCUAGUCCAUGUUUAGUCCCUGGUACCAAGCAGGUAGGGACUAGGGAGUUUUUAACCAAAUAGGGCCUUAGAUUAACAACAGCUAAAGAGUUGCACGGGACAGUGGAUGCACCAGCACCAUGUGCAUCUACCGAUGUAUGAAGGGCUGAUGCACAGUCUGUUGCAACAAAGAACAAACAACCAAGGAGCAUAUUUGUGUUAGUCCCAAUUUUGUUAUCUUUAGACACCUCUUCCUAUGUGAGCGUAGCAAAUCUAGUCCUGCUCAAACUCUACAGCCUUGUCCCCCAAAACAAAAGAUCAGUUCGUUACAGAUGUGCGUACUACGUUUGUCAUUGUUUCCCCUUUUCGACCAAUGUAGGUGCUGGAUAGCCAGUCUGUACUAGUACUUUCCCCCUUCCUUUCCUCUUUGAACCAUGUCCUAGAUUCAUGCUAUACAACUUUCCCCAUUCCCCCAUUCCUUUCUUCUUUGAACCACGUCUUAGAUUCAUGCUAUACAACUUUCCCCACUACUUUCCCCCCUUCCUUUCCUUUUUGAACCAUGUCCUAGAUUCAUGCUAUACAACUUUCCCUACUACUUUCCCCCAUUCCUUUCCUCUUUGAACCACGUCCUAGAUUCAUGCUAUACAACUUUCCCCACUACUUUCCUAUUUGAUCCAACACCUAUAUUCGAGAGCAUAAGCGGAAAAAGCCCACAUGCAGCUAGAUCAAUGCAUGUGGAAUAAGUAAAUUAUACCUUAAGGUUCUUGGGGUGUGGUUCGGUGGGCGACCGGAGGCCGUUCGGCCCGCACUAUGUACGGCGACAAAGAAGAAGAGGUCGGAGGCCCUCCUGCGCCGCCGCUGGGUGAAAGAGAACAGCUACGCUGGUAGUGGAUUCCCUCCCUCGCCGAUGGCGACAACGUUAAGCCUCCUUCCCUUCCCAGUGGACGGAUCCUACUGGCUCUUUGACCAGCAGUGAGGGGAGAGAGAGAGAGGCCAACGAAGACUUGUUUAGAUCUGGAGAGGGUGAGAGAGUGUGAAGAGAGCAACUACAAGCGCCGAGGCUCUAGCGUGUAUAUAUAUACUGGAGAGAGUGUGUGAAGAGUGCAAACCCUAGAAAACAAGCGUCGAGGCUGCAGCGUAUACAUGAUGAGGUGAUUAUACGGUCACUACAAGAUCAUAUAUCUCCGUAUCCAUCCAUUUUGACCAGUCAAAGAAUCCUCCUGGCACCACCCUGGAUCACUUUCUCUCUCUGUCAUGCAGGGCCUACCUGUCAUUGGGUGGAAGAAAGAAGUCGAACAAAAACAAAA
rnacentral:lncRNA from 1 species